AACGAACGCUGGCGGCAUGCCUAACACAUGCAAGUCGAACGAGACCUUCGGGCCUAGUGGCGCACGGGUGCGUAACGCGUGGGAACCUGCCCUUAGGUUCGGAAUAACUCCCCGAAAGGGGUGCUAAUACCGGAUAAUGUCUUCGGACCAAAGGUUUAUCGCCUUUGGAUGGGCCCGCGUUUGUUUAGCUAGUUGGUAUGGUAAAAGCCUACAAAGGCGACGAACCAUAGCUGGGCUGAGAGGAGGAUCAGCCACACUGGGACUGAGACACGGGCCAGACUCCUACGGGAGGCAGAAGUGGCGAAUAUUGGACAAGGGGAGAUAGACUGACCCAGCUAUGACGCGUGAGUGAUGAAGUCGUUAGGGUAGUACAGAUCUUGUAAUCGGGAAGAUAAUGACCGUACCGGGCGAAUAAGCGCCGGCUAACUCCGUG
rnacentral:rRNA from 1 species